rnacentral:tRNA from 1 species
CAGGGAGACAACAAAAUGUUUAAUAUUAUUAUUUUGUCACCUUAGGUCGAUCGGUAUCUCACGUUUUUAAUUUAUUAAGAAUUUCAUUUCCUAAGUUUUUCUAGGUCACACCCAUUAUUUUUCCUGGGCCAUUAGCUCAGGUGGUUAGAGCGCACCCCUGAUAAGGGUGAGGUCCCUGGUUCAAGUCCAGGAUGGCCCAUAUCUCUAUGUUGGGGGUAUAGCUCAGUUGGUAGAGCGCCUGCUUUGCAAGCAGGAUGUCAGCGGUUCGAGUCCGCUUACCUCCACUGAUUACCACCUCUUCCAUAACCGGUAGUAAAGGAAAUGUUUUGAGUUGUGAUCAAAUUCUGAAAGAAUCUAGCUUCCUAAUGAAUUCAUUAAGAUGCUGGACUCAUUGAAUUAAUUUCAUUGUUUUCAGAGAACCUUGACAACUGCAUAGAUUAUUUUUAAAGACAAUAAGCAUCUUUAAUGAUGCAGAUUUAUUAUUUGUGCGAAUGCAUUAAUAACAAUUCUAUUAAGCUGAUGCUUCAAUUUUUGAAGUUAUU